UACGAAGGGGGCUAGCGUUGUUCGGAAUCACUGGGCGUAAAGGGCGCGUAGGCGGCUUUGUAAGUCGGGGGUGAAAGCCUGUGGCUCAACCACAGAAUUGCCUUCGAUACUGCAUGGCUUGAGACCGGAAGAGGUUAGUGGAACUGCGAGUGUAGCGGUGAAAUGCGCAGAUAUCAGGAAGAACACCCGUGGCGAAGGCGGUUCUCUGGGACGGUACUGACGCUGAGACGCGAAAGCGUGGGGAGCGAACAGG
rnacentral:rRNA from 1 species